UGGGGAAUAUUGGGCAAUGGGCGCAAGCCUGACCCAGCAACGCCGCGUGAAGGAAGAAGGCCCUCGGGUUGUAAACUUCUUUUAUCAGGGACGAAGCAAGUGACGGUACCUGAUGAAUAAGCCACGGCUAACUACGUGCCAGCAGCCGCGGUAAUACGUAGGUGGCGAGCGUUAUCCGGAUUUACUGGGUGUAAAGGGCGUGUAGGCGGGAAGGCAAGUCAGACGUGAAAACCACGGGCUCAACCUGUGGCCUGCGUUUGAAACUGUUUUUCUUGAGUGAUGGAGAGGCAGGCGGAAUUCCGUGUGUAGCGGUGAAAUGCGUAGAUAUACGGAGGAACACCAGUGGCGAAGGCGGCCUGCUGGACAUUAACUGACGCUGAGGCGCGAAAGCGUGGGGAGCAAACA
rnacentral:rRNA from 1 species